AGCAGUGAGGAAUCUUCCACAAUGGGCGAAAGCCUGAUGGAGCAACGCCGCGUGCAGGAUGAAGGCCUUCGGGUUGUAAACUGCUUUUAUAAGUGAGGAUUAUGACAGUAACUUAUGAAUAAGGAUCGGCUAACUACGUGCCAGCAGCCGCGGUCAUACGUAGGAUCCGAGCGUUAUCCGGAGUGACUGGGCGUAAAGAGUUGCGUAGGUGGUUCGAUAAGCGAAUAGUGAAAUCUGGUGGCUCAACCAUUCAGACUAUUAUUCGAACUGUUGAACUCGAGAGCAGAAGAGGUAGCUGGAAUUUCUAGUGUAGGAGUGAAAUCCGUAGAUAUUAGAAGGAACACCGAUGGCGUAGGCAGGCUACUGGGCUGUUUCUGACACUGAGGCACGAAAGCGUGGGGAGCGAACCGGAUUAGAUACCCGGGUAGUCCACGCCGUAAACGAUGGAUACUAGCUGUUUGGGGUAUCGACCCCCUGAGUAGCGAAGCUAACGCGUUAAGUAUCCCGCCUGUGGAGUACGAUCGCAAGAUUAAAACAUAAAGGAAUUGACGGGGACCCGCACAAGCGGUGGAUCAUGUUCUUUAAUUCGAUGAUAACCGAUAAACCUUACCAGGUCUUGACAUCCUUGGAAUCUUUCAGAAAUGAGAGAGUGCUUUUUAAGAGCCAAGUGACAGGUGAUGCAUGGCCGUCGUCAGCUCGUGUCGUGAGAUGUUUGGUUAAGUCCAUCAACGAGCGCAACCCUUGUCAGUAGUUGUAUUUUUCUACUGAGACUGCCCCGGUAACGGGGAGGAAGGAGGGGAUGACGUCAGGUCAGUAUUUCCCUUACGUCCUGGGCUAGAAACGUGAUACAAUGGCUAGUACAAUGCGCAGCGAAGCCGCGAGGUGAAGCAAAUCGCAUCAAAGCUAGUCCCAGUUCGGAUUGUAGGCUGAAACUCGCCUGCAU
rnacentral:rRNA from 1 species